rnacentral:rRNA from 1 species
UACGUAGGGUCCAAGCGUUGUCCGGAAUUACUGGGCGUAAAGAGCUCGUAGGUGGUUUGUCGCGUUGUUCGUGAAAACUCACAGCUCAACUGUGGGCGUGCGGGCGAUACGGGCAGACUUGAGUACUGCAGGGGAGACUGGAAUUCCUGGUGUAGCGGUGGAAUGCGCAGAUAUCAGGAGGAACACCGGUGGCGAAGGCGGGUCUCUGGGCAGUAACUGACGCUGAGGAGCGAAAGCGUGGGGAGCAAACAGG